AUGGCGAGGUGGACGGUGCAGCGGUGCGGGCUGCUACUGCUGGUGGCGCUCGUCCUCGCGGUGACCGCGGCCGUAGCGGACGACAGCGGCGAGAAGUGCACCGGCGGGUGCGGGAACCCGUGCGGCAUCCCGUGCACCUACUCCAGCCCGCCGCCGCCGGAGCCGGCGCUGCCCCCGCCCGUCUACUACCCGCCGCCGGCGCCCGUCUACUCGCCGCCGCCGCCCGAGGCCGUCUACCCGCCGCCCACGCCCGCGGCCGACUGCCCGCCGCCCCCCACCGAGGGCGGCGGGUACAACCCUACGCCGUCCGGCGGGGACGGGUACAACCCGACGCCGUCCGGCUGGUUCACGCCGCCCAACAUGCCGUCGUACCUGACACCGCCGGGGCCGCUCUACCCGCAGGACCCCGGGUUCCGGCCCAACGCCGCGCCGGGCCUCUUCGCGUCGUGGCGCGCGGCGACCCUCGCGGCGCUGGCGGUGGCCGCAGCCGUCGCCUUGUGA
rnacentral:rRNA from 1 species